rnacentral:tRNA from 1 species
GGCGGCAUAGCUCAGUCGGUUAGAGCGAUGGCUUCAUAAGCCAUAGGUCACUGGUUCAAGUCCAGUUGCCGCUA